rnacentral:lncRNA from 1 species
CAGCUAUGGUAGGGAAAGAGUAAGAGGAAGGAAGAAGGGAAGGAGAGGAAGAAGAGAAGGGAAAGAAGGGGCUGCGGCUGCGGCGAUGACAGCUGCAGUUGGAAGAGAAGAAGGAGAGGAAGAUGAGCCGGGGAGGAAGAAGAGGCUGUGGCUGUGGCUGAGGCUGCGACUGCAGCAGUGCAGCUGGGAAAGAAGAGAAGGAAAGGAAGAAGAAGAGAAAGGAAAAGGGAAGAAGAGAGGAAGAGGAGAAGGGGAGGCAGCUGUGGCAGUGGCAGUGGCAGGUGCAGCUGGAAGAGAAGGAGAGGAAAUAGAGCAGGGGAGGAAGAAGAGGCUGCGGCUGUGGUGGCUGCGGCCAUGGCUGCGACUGCGACUGCGGCAGUUGCAGCUGGGAAAGAAAAGAAAGGAAAGAGGAAAAAGGGGCUGCGGACGGGAUUGCGGCCGCAGUGGCAGCGACUGCGUAUGCAGUAGUUAUGUCUGCGAGAGAAGGGAGCAAGGAAGUAGUACAGUGGAAGGGGCUGCGGUUGUGACUGUAGCUGCGGUUGUGACAGCAGUUGCGGUCUUGACUACGACUGUGGUAGUGGCCCGCGAUGGCUGCGACAACUGUGUUUGAAAAAGAAAACGAAGGAAUGAGAGUAAGAGAGAGCAAGUGGCUAUGCCUCUAUGUUCUGCAUGAGCUGCAAUUGUGGAGGAAAAAGAAAAGACAUGUAGAAAACGAAACAGAGAGAGAGGACACGGAGGAAAAGUAGAAGGAUUUGGGCUGGCACACUCUUUAGAUCUUCGUAUCGAAAUCUUUGAAAGGCAAGUUUCCUGAUCGUUUCUCCUGUAAUUGUUCUAAUCUUUCCUAUUGCAAGUUUCCCAAUCGUUUCUCCUGUUAUUGUUCUAAUCUUUCAUAUUGCAAGUUUCCUGAUCGUUUCUCCUUUAAUUGUUCUAAUCUUUCCUAUUGCAAGUUUCCUGAUCGUUUCUCCUGUAAUUGUUCUAAUCUUUCCUAUUGCAAGUAUCCUGAUCUUUUCUCACUGCAAUUUUAUCUCUACAUUUGCUUUGAAUAUGAGAAAAUUUGAAUUGUUCUAGCCUUGCACUUGAUAUAUCUUCUGUUUGGAUGUAACGAUUCGAAACUGUGCAACUUCCAAGAUUCUGACCUUUCUACCUUGUUAUGAUUAUAACUUCAUGUAUUGACAUCUGAUUUGGACAAAACUUAUUUGAUCAGAAUAUAGACUCAUAAACCAUUGUUUUGAUAGCUUAUUUUAAGAAUUCGGAAUAAGUUUGUCUGCCCAAACUUCUAUUUCAAAUGAGCCUACAGAUUCUACAAAACAGGGAUCGUAAUUUAGGACCUUUUGAUACUUAACUGCUUAUAAGUCCCCGUUGCAAACAUUUAUUUAUUGAAAGAUUAUUUCAUUGGAAACUAGACUCAUAGAUCUUUCUUUUGAUAUUUGGAUUGAAAGAUUUGGAAUCCAAACACCUGCCCAGUUAUCUGCUGAAUCUGACAUUAUGAAUUCUGCCAAACAGCGAUUUUGUUCUACGACCCUUGUUUACCAAAUUAUAUGUAACUCUGUCUAUUGGAUAGUUCAAUUCAUAUGAAGCCUGUCUUAUCUGAAAGUAUAAUCCAAUGAUAUAUUUCUGAGUAAAUUGGAGCACGAUUGAUAGUUUGAAUAAUUUGUUUAAUGUGCCUCUUGUAUUCUGCCAGAAAUCGAGCUUUGGUCGAUUUCAAAUAUUCUGGUUUCAUUCCUUUGAAAAUUGAUAUCCUUUAGCUUUCUUAUUUAAUUGAGCUUUGUAUUACUGCUUUGAAUACUUGUAUGCUCUUGUCCUUAAAGUUAUUUGCAUUCUUGAAAACUAUUGUGUAACGUUUAUGCUAUAUCAUAUUGACUCAUUUAGGCACAUGUGUAUCCCAUUGUUCCGCAUUUGCUUUCGAUAUGUGCCUAUUCCAUUUCCUUUCAAAAUCCGAAUACCAUUGUGAAAGAUUAUUGCUUGCAUCGUAUUGUCUCGGAAAGACACAUGUACGUUUUGUUGUUCCGCGUGUGCUUCCGAUAUAUGCUACUUAUUGAUAAAACUGCCCUCUUGUACUCUAGUGUUUGUGGGAUUGUCUAGACCUUUGCCAGAAAUGGUAAAGGGUAUGUGUUUAGAGCCUGCGAUGCUCUGCCGGCCCCCUUUGACUUCACCUAGACGUGAGUGGAUGUAGCUCCCAAACGUCGGAGACUUCUGUCUGGUGGUCAUUCAGAAAUGGAUGAAUCACAAUUCUGUUUGAGAUCCCACUACACCUUCUAUAUGUUUGAUAUGAUAUCCAGAGCUUUGGUUAUGUGUUUCGGUACAAGCUUUGGAUAAAAAUGAUAUGAUUGUAACGUCNNNNNNNNNNNNNNNNNNNNGCUUCGAAAUGUACCAUUUGCCAUUGAUAUGCUCCGGAACAUCUCGUACGCUAUUGAUAUGCUCCAAUUACUUUGUGCUCCAUUUGUUAUGAAUCAAAUAUGUUUUGAAUGAUAUGAUACAUAUGAUUUUGUAUCUAAUGAGAUGGUAUCCUUGAGAAUUCUUGUAUUCUGCCUUGCAUUAUGAUACCUUACUUGUUUGAAACCAUUCCUUUUGUUUUGAAUAUGCUUUGUCACUUGCUGAGCUAUUUUUAGCUCACUCCGUUGUUAUAUAAAUCUUUCAGGUCAGCUUGUCACCCUUUGAGAUGUUUGAUUUGGGCUGAGGCAGUGGAUAGCUAUACAGAAUUAUGGGCAAGUCUUGUUGGUUGUUAUGUUAUUGUUGUAUAAGCAUAUUUUGUAUGUAAUGAAAUGUUGUUGAUGAAUCGAAAUGGAUAUACUGUGUAAAAGUGUUAGAAGAUCUCUCUUAUUUGGAAUUUCGAAAUGUUAAGUCUAAUUUAUGAUGAUAUGAACUUGUGGUGAAUAGUUGGAGUUCUGAUUGUAUAAUUUAUUUAGCUUGUGGAUUUAUAAAUGUUGUUCAUGUUUGUCAAGUUGGCUUGGGUUGCCAUAAAUGUGAAUUAUCGAGUGAUGUGAUAUAUGAUUAUAAACUGCGCAGGUUUUAUAGAUGUGAAUUUGAUAGAAUGUU